GGGCAGAAAAUCCCGGUUUCCCAAUGAUAGCCGACAGAUUCUUGAUCACGGCUGACCCUUGUAUUCCCUCAAUUGAAACAUUCUUAAAUGAGACAGCCUCCUUUGUCUCUUCCCAGGUUAGCUUGUCCCAGAAUGCUGCUAGCAGAUCCCUACUUUUGGCAGAAUCCUUAUCAAGCUUUUUCAGCCUAUGAUGCACACGUAUAUGUCUUCUAUAGUUGAUAACUGAGCAAAAUUCCCG
rnacentral:misc_RNA from 1 species